rnacentral:rRNA from 1 species
CAGAGGGAUGCAAAACUGCGAAGUGGAGCGAACCCCCAAAAGCCGUCUCAGUUCGGAUCGCAGGCUGCAACCCGCCUGCGUGAAGUCGGAAUCGCUAGUAAUCGCGGAUCAGCAUGCCGCGGUGAAUACGUUCCCGGGCCUUGUACACACCGCCCGUCACACCAUGAGAGUCGGGAACACCCGAAGCCCGUAGCCUAACUUGCAAGAGAGGGCGCGGUCGAAGGUGGGUUCGAUAAUUGGGGUGAAGUCGUAACAAGGUAAC